AGGGUUUGAUUAUGGCUCAGGAUGAACGCUGGCGGCGUGCCUAACACAUGCAAGUCGAGCGAUUUUCUUCGGAGAAGAGCGGCGGACGGGUGAGUAACGCGUGGGUAACCUGCCCUGUACACACGGAUAACAUACCGAAAGGUAUGCUAAUACGAGAUAAUAUACUUUUAUCGCAUGGUAGAAGUAUCAAAGCUUUUGCGGUACAGGAUGGACCCGCGUCUGAUUAGCUAGUUGGUAAGGUAACGGCUUACCAAGGCGACGAUCAGUAGCCGACCUGAGAGGGUGAUCGGCCACAUUGGAACUGAGACACGGUCCAA
rnacentral:rRNA from 1 species